rnacentral:rRNA from 1 species
ACUCAAAGGAAUAGACGGGGACCCGCACAAGCGGUGGAGCGUGUUGUUUAAUUCGAUGGUAAGCGAAGAACCUUACCCAGGUUUGACAUCCUACUAAUCUUUCCGAAAGGAAGGAGUGCCUUCGGGCCGUAGUGACAGGUGUUGCAUGGCCGUCGUCAGCUCGUGUCGUGAGAUGUUUGGUUAAGUCCAUCAACGAGCGCAACCCCUGUGAUUAGUUGAAUUUUUCUAAUCAGACUGCCUCGGUAACGGGGAGGAAGGGGGGGAUGAUGUCAGGUCAGUAUUACCCUUACACCUGGGGCUACAAACACGCUACAAUGGCCGGUACAAAGGGCUGCCAAGUCGCGAGACGGAGCAAAUCCCAUCAAAGCCGGUCUCAGUUCGGAUAGUAGGCUGAAACUCGCCUGCUUGAAGCUGGAAUCGCUAGUAACGGUAGGUCAGCACACUACCGUGAAUACGUUCCCGGGUCUUGUACACACCGCCCGU